AAAGGGUGCGUAGGCGGCCUGUUAAGUCAGGGGUGAAAGACGGUAGCUCAACUAUCGCAGUGCCCUUGAUACUGAUGGGCUUGAAUGGACUAGAGGUAGGCGGAAUGAGACAAGUAGCGGUGAAAUGCAUAGAUAUGUCUCAGAACACCGAUUGCGAAGGCAGCUUACUAUGGUCUUAUUGACGCUGAGGCACGAAAGCGUGGGGAUCAAACAGGAUUAGAUACCCUAGU
rnacentral:rRNA from 1 species